GCCAGGAAGCCUUGCAUGUCUAGAACGAGGAGUAGCCCUUACUCCUACCGGUUAAGUCUUGUUGAGCUUAGUAGCUCAGCCUUGUUGUGGCUCCUGUUUUUCAGGUGAAGUUGCUGCGUCCGACCCCUCUCUGGUUGGUGCUUGGCCGCCCCAGCUCCCGCCAGGCUGGACGGUCGAGUGGGACCCCUCCUCGGACGGCGAGGAGAGGACUCAGUGAUGUUCUGGCUGGCCUCGCCCGGACAUCCGACCCCGACGAAGUCUUCCGCUAGUGUUUCUCUGUUGUUUUCUUGAAAUCUUGUAAAACUCUGAUGUUGGAUCUUAUGGCCGAACUAAAUGGGUAAAACUUGUUCAACUCGGUGGACUUGUUGUAUUCUCUGUAACCGCUCACCUUCGUGUGGGUUUGC
rnacentral:lncRNA from 1 species